rnacentral:rRNA from 1 species
UACGGAGGGGGCUAGCGUUGUUCGGAAUUACUGGGCGUAAAGCGCGCGUAGGCGGCUUUGUAAGUUAGAGGUGAAAGCCCGGAGCUCAACUCCGGAAUUGCCUUUAAGACUGCAUCGCUAGAAUCAUGGAGAGGUGAGUGGAAUUCCGAGUGUAGAGGUGAGAUUCGUAGAUAUUCGGAAGAACACCAGUGGCGAAGGCGACCACCUGGCUCGGUACUGACGCUGAGGCGCGACAGCGUGGGGAGCAAACAGG